GGCAAUUACAAGGGCAUCACACUACUUAGUCUCCCAGGUAAAAUCUACUCCAGGGUGGUGGAAAGGAGGGUUCGGCCGAUAGUCCAGCCUCGGAUUGAAGAGGAAAAUUGUGGGUUCCCUCCUGGAUGUGGUACAACCGACCAACUCUUCACUCUCAAAAGGAUCUUGGAGGGGGCCUGGGAGUAUGUCCAUCCAGUAAACAUGUGAUUUGUAUACUUUGAAGAGAUGU